rnacentral:misc_RNA from 1 species
UAAUAAGUGUUUAUGGCACUUUUUAAAUCCAUAUCCACCUUGUGUUGCAAUGUCAGUCGGAUCUUUCUUUCAGUCAAGAAAAGGAUUGACAAACAUCAACCUUAUUCUUUAAUGCACUUUGUCCUGAAAAAUAUUAUAAUAAACUAAUUCAAAAUA